rnacentral:rRNA from 1 species
UACGGAGGGAGCUAGCGUUGUUGGGAAUUACUGGGCGUAAAGCGCACGUAGGCGGCUAUUCAAGUCAGAGGUGAAAGCCCGGGGCUCAACCCCGGAACUGCCUUUGAAACUAGAUAGCUAGAAUCUUGGAGAGGUCAGUGGAAUUCCGAGUGUAGAGGUGAAAUUCGUAGAUAUUCGGAAGAACACCAGUGGCGAAGGCGACUGACUGGACAAGUAUUGACGCUGAGGUGCGAAAGCGUGGGGAGCAAACAGG